GUCUUUUUGAAGAGAAUAAAAAGUCUAAUCUGCCCAAUGAAUNUUUUUUAAUAGGCCGCAGUAUCUUGACUGUGCAAAGGUAGCAUAAUAAUUAGUUUUUUAAUUGAAAGCUGGAAUGAAUGAUUGAACGAAAAAAAUACUUUAUUAAAUUUAGUUUUUAUGAAUUUUAUUUUUGAGUUAAAAAGCUUAGAUUUUAUUAAAAGACGAGAAGACCCUAUAGAGUUUUAUAUAAAUAAUAAAUUAAUUUCAUUAUUUUAAAAUUAAUUUAUUAUUUUUAUUUUAUUGGGGUGAUAAUUAAAUUUAGUAAACUUUAAUUUUAGGUAAACAUAAAUUGAUGAAUAAUUGAUCCAUUAUAAUGAUUAAAAGAUUAAAUUACCUUAGGGAUAACAGCGUUAUUUUUCUUAGAGUUCUUAUCAAAAGAAAAGUUUGCGACCUCGAUGUUGGAUUAAAUUUUAUACUUGGUGUAGAGGCUAGGUUAUUAGGUCUGUUCGACCUUUAAAAAUUUACA
rnacentral:rRNA from 1 species